rnacentral:rRNA from 1 species
CGAGAGGACCGGGGUGAACGAUCCACUGGUGGACCUGUUGUUGCGCCAGCAGCAGUGCAGGGUAGCUAUGAUCGGACAGGAUAACCGCUGAAGGCAUCUAAGCGGGAAGCCCCCCUCAAAACAAGGUAUCCCUGAGGGCCGUGGUAGACCACCACGUCGAUAGGCCGGAGAUGUAAGCGCAGCAAUGUGCUCAGUUGACCGGUACUAAUGGCCCGAUAGGCUUGAUUUGAUCCAG